rnacentral:lncRNA from 1 species
ACGUGCUGCUCUGUGCGUCUGAGUGGGAGUUGCAAGUUAGUCCUGCCGCCUAUCCGCCAUCUUCAAACCCACAAUUUUUUUUUUUUUUUUUAGUUGUAGCCUUUAAAUACAUCUUAAUUAACUGAAAAGCCCUUGAAAAAGCAAGAAAAAGUCAAAGAAAGUAUUUCAAGAUAAAGGUCUCUUCACUGAUAAUUUGGGAACAACUGACUUUCCUCUAGAGGAUUUGAACUGGAGGAGGCUUGAAGUUGAACAAUGGAACUCUCAGUACCAACUUCCCUUUACAGUCUGAUCUCAGAAAUCUGACAGCCAGUUGUAUUCCCCCAGACCCUCUACCUUCACCUGUAAGUCUAAGUGGCAGGAAUUUCGCAACUCCAAAAAGUGAUGCCGAAAAAUAUUGGAGCAAUGUCUUCAAAAUUGUAAGAGUAUACACCCAACUAAACUGUUGACAAGUAGCAUAAAGGGUAGAAUAAAGAUUUUUCCCUGGCCAGGUGUGGUAGCUCACACCUGUGAUCCCAGAACUUUGGGAGACCAAGGCUGGAAGAUUGCUUGAGCCGAGGAGUUUGGGACCAGCCUGGGCAACAUAGGAAGAUUCUGUCUCCACAAAAUUUUAAAAAAUUAGCUGAGCGUGGUGGCAUGCGCCUGUGGUCCCAGCUACUCAUAGGGUGAGGCGUGAGGAUCGCUUUAAUCCGGGAAGUCAAAGUUGCAGUGAGCCAGGAUGGUGCCACUGCACUCCAGCCUGGGUGACAGAGUAAGACCUUGUCUAAAAAAAAAAAAAAACGUAUUUAUCAACUAUGGAAGUCCUCAAAACAUUUGCCUUCUUAGGAAGCAAGUAGAAGAUAUACUUUAACCAAAAUAAGGGGAUAAACCAAGAAUCAUAAGGACACUGAAUUCAGGAAACAGGGAUUAGAACACGGGAGACCUGCAAAAGGAUAUUCAGGAUGCAACUACACAAUCAGGCCUAGAACGCAGCUGACAGAGAUCGAUCGGGACACGGGGGCUCAGGAUGGAGGACUGUAGGUUAAAAAAAAAAUGGAACUCAUGUAUCUUCUGAGUUUUUGAAUCUUAUGUGCAUUCAGAAACCUACAAAGAGUCUGUGAGUAGUCCUCCGACCUUCCAUUUCUUUUUACUUUCGUUGGCCCUGUGUAAAACAAAUGUCAUUAUACUUAUCUUUUUCUCUGUUUAUGUUUUCAUUUUUCAUAUGAGAAAUAUAAUUUUCUUUUAGGAAUUAUAUAAUUAAAAAAUUACAAGCGA